rnacentral:rRNA from 1 species
AUGGGUGAACAGGGGGAGCUCGCCGCGGAGAAGCACGUCCGCUACAUCGUCACCGCGGAGAAGAAGAAGGACUCGUUCGAGUCGCUGGUGAUGGAGCACCUCCGGGCCAGCGGCGCCUACUGGGGCCUCACCACGCUCGACCUCCUCCACAAGCUUCACGCCGUGGACGCCGCCGAGGUCGUCGACUGGAUCAUGUCGUGCUACCACCCGGAAUCUGGUGGGUUCGGGGGGAACGUGGGGCACGACCCGCAUGUCCUCUACACGCUCAGCGCCGUGCAGGUCCUCUGCCUCUUCGAUCGGCUCGAUGUUCUUGAUGCAGACAAAAUUGCUGACUAUAUUACUGGACUUCAAAAUGAGGAUGGAUCAUUUUCUGGUGAUAUUUGGGGUGAAGUUGAUACUAGGUUCUCGUAUAUUUCCAUAUGCACCUUGUCAUUACUGCAUCGUCUGCACAAAAUUAAUGUGGAAAAGGCUGUAGAAUAUAUUGUUAGCUGUAAGAACUUGGACGGCGGAUUUGGAGCUAUGCCAGGAGGGGAGUCUCACGCUGGGCAGAUAUUCUGCUGUGUUGGUGCUCUCGCAAUCACCGGCUCUUUGCAUCACAUUGAUAGAGAUCUCCUUGGAUGGUGGCUCUGUGAGCGCCAGUGUAGAGAUGGAGGGCUCAAUGGGCGUCCUGAGAAACUUGCUGAUGUGUGCUACUCAUGGUGGGUGUUAUCAAGCUUGAUAAUUAUUGAUAGAGUGCACUGGAUUGACAAGGAAAAACUUGCAAAGUUCAUAUUGAACUGUCAGGACAAGGAAAAUGGUGGAAUUUCAGAUAGACCAGAUAAUGCGGUCGAUAUCUACCACACGUACUUUGGAGUUGCAGGGCUUUCAUUGAUGGAGUAUCCUGGAGUGAAGCCUAUCGAUCCUGCCUACGCCCUCCCUUUAGAUGUUGUCAACAGCUAG